rnacentral:rRNA from 1 species
AGAGUUUGAUCCUGGCUCAGGAUGAACGCUGGCGGUGUGCUUUAGGUAUGCAAGUCGAACGAAUUUAGUAGCAAUACUAAGUUAGUGGCGGACGAGUGAGUAACGCGUAUGAAUCUACCCAGAAGUUGGGAAUAACCUGCCGAAAGGUGGGCUAAUACCCGAUAGUCUUUCCGAAGUAAAGGGCUUUACCGCCCGCUUUUGGAGGAGCAUGCGUCCUAUCAGCUAGUUGGUAAGGUAAAAGCUUACCAAGGCUAUGACGGGUAUCUGGACUGAGAGGUUGACCAGACACGGGGGCACUGAGACACGGGCUCCACAUCUACGGAUGGCAGCAACCAGGAAUAUUGGGCAAUGGGGGAAACCCUGACCCAGCGACACCGCGUGGAGGAUGAAGGCUUUAGGGUCGUAAACUCCUUUUACUAAGCUCUUCACGGUUUAGAGAAUAAGCACCUACUAACUACGUGCCAGAAGUCUCGGUAAUACGUAUGGUGCAAGCGUUAUCCGGAUUUACUGGGCGUAAAGAGUAUGUAGGCGGUCUUUAAAGUCGCAGUUUAAAGCCCGGGGCUUAACCCCGGAUUUGGUUGCGAUACUCAAAGACUUGAGGAUUAUUUGGGGUACUGGACAGCUUUGGUGUUAGUGGUUGAAAUACGGUUGAUAUCAACUGGAACACCGAAGGCGAAUGCAAGUACCUGAGAUUUUCCUGACGCUGAGAUACGAAAGCUAGGGUAGCGAACAGAUUAAAGACCUGGUGUAGUCCUAGCCGUAACGAUGAUGCUAGCUAGUGUGCAGCACUGGCGUAGCUACGCGUUAGCAUCCGCCUGGGGAGUACGACCGCAGUCAACUCGAGGAUGACGUGAUCGCCACCAUGGAGCGUGUGUUCAUUCGAACGAGCGAACUCCAGCUGAAUAUAAGUCUAUCGAACGGAUCGUAGGGCUUAAGGUGGCUGGCUGCUCACUCGGCUGGGGUUUUUAUGACAGGACCCUGUCAGUUAUUUCUGGAGCCUCUCUCGGAGGAGAGCAAGUACAGCCUACCUGUCACAAGCCAUGUUGGCGAAUUCAUUGGAGACUGCCUUGCUUUUGCAAGGAGGAAGGAGAGGCAGAUGUCAAGUCAGCAUGGCCCUUAUGCCUUGGGCUACACACACCCUACAAUGGCGAAUAACAAUGGGUUGCGAGCUCGCAAGAGUAAGCUAAUCUCAGAAAUUUCGCCUCAGUUCAGAUUGGGGUCUGAAACUCGACCCCAUGAAGUUGGAAUUGGUAGUAAUCGCGGAUCAGCGGGCCGCGGUGAAUACGUUAUCGGGUCUUGUACACACCGCCCGUCAAGGCAGCAAAGUCGAUAGCUAUCGAACACCGUUUUUACGGGGGAGAUAGAGAUUGAUGAUGAGGCUUAAGUCGUAACAAGGUAACCGUAUCAAAGUUUAGGAACUUUGAGGCUUAUAACUGCUUGCUUCUGACAACUAACAAAAUAAGUUAGAUGUCAUUAGUUAGAAGUUGUUAGCUUUCAAAAUCGUAGAUUUUGAGGUGGGGGAGAUAGAGAUCGGUGAUGAAGCUUAAGUCGUAACAAGGUAUCCCUAGCCGAAGCUGGGGAU